rnacentral:pre_miRNA from 2 species
UUUUAUGGAUGAGCAAAGAAAGUGGUUUCUUGCGAUGGAAUCUACUCUGGGUGAAAAUGCUUUGAA